GGCUUCGUAGCUCAACGGAAUCAGAGCGCAAGAAUACGAAUCUUGAGGUUGCGGGUUCAAAUCCUGCCGAAGUCGCCA
rnacentral:tRNA from 1 species